CGGGCACAUUGUCAAGAUGGGGGCAGACUACAGCACCAUGGUGGACCAGCGCCUACCCGAGUGCGAGAAGCUAGCCAAGGAAGAACGACUUCAGGAAGUUAUUGUAACCCUUCUUUCUUUGGAAAAACAGUCUUGUACUGCUUCCAACAGUGUGUCUACAUUCUGUAUUUUAGUUGCAGUAGUGAGGAUGUGCUACGAGGCUAAAAAAUGGGAUUUCCUGAAUGAAAAUAUUAUGCUUUUGUCCAAAAGGAGGAGUCGGUUAAAACAAGCUGUUGCAAAAAUGGUUCAACGGUGCUGUACCUAUGCUGAAAUAACAGACCUUCCAAUUAAACUUUGAUUAAUUGAUACUCUACGAAUGGUUACAAAAGGAAAGAUUGAUGUUGAAAUUGAGUGUGCUCAACUAACUAAAACCUUAGCAACUAUAAGAGAGCAAAAUGGCGAUGUGAAAGAGGCAGCUUCCAUCUUACAAGAGUUAUAGGUGGAAACUUAUGGGUCAAUGGAGAAGAAGGAGCCAGUGGAGUUCUUUCUGGAGCAAAUGAGGCUCUGCCUCACGGUGAAGGAUUACAUCUGGACACAAACCAUCAACAAGAAGAUUAACACCAAAUUUUUCCAGGAAGAAAAUACAGAGAAAUUAAAGUUGAAAUACUAUAAUUUGAUGAUCCAGCUGGAUCAGCACGAGGGAUCCUAUUUGUCUAUUUGUAAGCACUACAGAGCGAUAUAUGACACUCCCUGUAUACAGGCAGAAAGAGAAAAGUGGCAGCAGACUCUGAAGAGUGUUGUGCUCUGUGUUAUCCUGGCUCCUUUUGAAAAUGAACUGUCAGAUCUGGUUCACCGAAUAAGUGGUGACAAGAAGUUAGAAGAAAUUCCCAAAGACAAGGAUCUUUUAAAACUUUUUACCACAAUGGAAUUGAUGCAUUGGUCCAUGCUCGUUGGGGACUAGGGAAUGGAGUUAAGGAAAGGCUGAUGUCUUUGGUUCUACCGAGGAAGGUGAACAAAGGUGGAAAGACCCAAAGAACAGAGCUGUUGGACAUGUAAGAAUCUGGCAUGAUAGGGAUGACAAUUUUUAUUUUAACCCGAGUUCCGACGCGCUCAACCCCGCGGCGCCUCCCGAGCCCGCGAAACUGUUCUCCCGCGAGAACGCCCCGCCGGCCCCGCCCCCCCGCUCCGCUCCCUUAUUGGCUGAAGUCAGCCGCGGUCCUGGAGUUCGUUCCGCCCCCUUCCGCCACUCUCAAAGGCGCGCUAUGGACCGGCUCUUUGUGCCAGCCAAUCAUCGCCAGUUUUCUUCACCUUUUUUUCCUGUGUCUUCAGUCCGGCAGUUCCCGACCCUUUCACUCUUCUCUAGUUAA